AGAGUUUGAUCAUGGCUCAGGAUGAACGCUGGCGGCGUGCCUAACACAUGCAAGUCGAGCGAUCUUCUUCGGAAGAGAGCGGCGGACGGGUGAGUAACGCGUGGGUAACCUGCCCUGUACACACGGAUAACAUACCGAAAGGUAUGCUAAUACGAGAUAAUAUGCUUUUGUCGCAUGGUAGAAGUAUCAAAGCUCCGGCGGUACAGGAUGGACCCGCGUCUGAUUAGCUAGUUGGUAAGGUAACGGCUUACCAAGGCGACGAUCAGUAGCCGACCUGAGAGGGUGAUCGGCCACAUUGGAACUGAGACACGGUCCAAACUCCUACGGGAGGCAGCAGUGGGGAAUAUUGCACAAUGGGCGAAAGCCUGAUGCAGCAACGCCGCGUGAGCGAUGAAGGCCUUCGGGUCGUAAAGCUCUGUCCUCAAGGAAGAUAAUGACGGUACUUGAGGAGGAAGCCCCGGCUAACUACGUG
rnacentral:rRNA from 1 species